GAUGAAGAACGCAGUGAAAUGCGAUAAGUAAUGUGAAUUGCAGAAUUCAGUGAAUCAUCGAAUCUUUGAACGCAACUUGCGCCCUCUGGUAUUCCGGAGGGCAUGCCUGUUUGAGUGUCAUGUAGACUCAAUCCCUCGGGUUUCUGAGGAGGUUGGAUUUGGGUGCUUGCCUUCUGGCUCGCCUUAAAGGACUUAGCAGGAUAGCACUGUAGUCGACGUAAUAAGUCUCGUCGGUGAAAGUGUGAUGUCUGCUUACAGAUUGCCCUUGGGCACUUUUGACUCUGACCUCAAAUCAGGUAGGACUACCCGCUGAACUUAAGCAUAUCAAUAAGCGGAGGA
rnacentral:misc_RNA from 1 species